UAAAAUUGCGUCUCUAUUCUGUCUAAAGCGCCUUUCGCAUGUGAAGCUUGCUCUGCCUAGAAGCCUUCGAAAUUAUUGAGGAACGUGACAUCUGCGCAUAUUUUUCCGAUAGUCCGACAUGACGAGGUUGAAGAGCAUCGGUGACACGACUGACCCUUGCGGUGUGCCAGUGCUGCUCAUGUCCACCUGGAUACUCUCCUCGUUCAGCCUGAUUCUGGCUGCUCUUCCAGUUAGGAAACAACCAUGCUUUUAGCGAGCACCCUGGCCGUGAUGUUGGGUCUCGGAGCACAAGUUACCGCUACGACCAAAAAUGACAGCAAAGGGUGUGACUUCUCCGGCAUAGACGUGGACCCCUUUAUGACAAGAAUUCUUGCUCUGUUACCUUCAAACUACUCCAUCAAGCCCGCCGACUUUAGGCCGUUCAUCCCUGGACUUGAGAUCGGCAGCCUGAGACUGAGUGGCUUCGAUAAAAUCCUCCGUUACGGGCCGUUGGUUCCUUACUGCGUGGACGGUAGGCACAUGGUGCAAGUGGACCUGAUCAACAACGGUGACGUCAGCAUGAUUUCGCGCUGGAAAUCAUGCUCCGGGCGCGAAGGGGACAUUCGAUUCCGCAACUCAUUCUCACGUUUUACUGUUCAGUUCCACGUGCUCACUCAUCCCACCGUGCGGGCCUUUUCAUUCGACUUUGAGGAUGCAGUAGUUCCCGUUAGUUCGGGUUAUCCUUAUCUUGUAAUCGAAGGCGCAGGUGAGGGCGUAAGCACAGCAAGUAGAUGGCUCAGCAAAAUUUUCCCCGCUGAGGUUACGAAGGUGUGGACCGAUAACUUCCGUACGCACUUCGCUUCCGCUUUGCGCGAAGCUGUGCGCGCUAUCUUUUCGGGAGGGCCUAGGCCUGUGCUUUACUACGAACGACUCCAUUAAUGUCGUGAAGGAGAGUUCUUUACUUGCAUUGUACGGAAUACAGUAGUCCUUCCGCCCAAGUGGCCUGUUGUCUGUGUUCUUUCCAUUGUCCAUAUAUAUUGUAUUAAAAACAACCUAUUGAAUCUUGGUUUUACCUCAAGGAGGGGGGGUUUGCUGUCAGACAGGUGUUGAUUUCUGAGGAGUGCAAUCCUUAUUCUAUAAAUUAUAGCCUUCGCCAACCUGACUAUAGUAUUCUACAUGUGACUAAAACUGGUUCAGUGGAAUCGCAUUUAUGCUUUUCUCAAAGACACGGGCAUGUUUGCAAAGCUCAGUGAGGGUCAUUCGUCUUUAUUUGUCGUUCUUGAAGUAAAUCAUUCGUCAGGUACGCAGUGAGGUGAAUGCAGGAAUAGAAGUUGGUAAAGCACUUUAAACACCGACGUUUUUCGAAAUAUUUUUGUGUAUAUGAUGGAAGUAGAUACAUGUUCUUACAGCCAAAUAAUUUUGUGGGUUUGGCGGCGUGGAAUGAGGACCAUUGCUAUUUAUAUUGUGGAGCAGUGGCUUAAAGGGCAACUCACCUCUAAUAUACUGGAAAAAUGACUGAAAAAAAUUGGUUGGUUGCUUUCUCAUAGCAAUAACACUUAGAAGCAUUGGAAGCUACGUUGCAGCAUUGUGUUGAUUACGGUGAUGAUUUUCGUAGUACGGCGCAUAGGCACAAUCGGGGAUUGCACAUGGAUUGAGCGGUAUAUUUAAAAUACUUAAGCACAAAUGAGGCAAUAGAUGCCAAUAUCUGACUCGUCACAUUCCAUAGCAGGGUUACAUGAGAGCACCAGCAUGUGCCAGUUUCUUUCACGCCUAAACCCCGAAAACAAUUUGGCCGAUUUACAGCAGUUCAUUAAGCGCUUAACGAAUGUUUCACUUCACACAUAGAUAUGAACAAAAUCAUUACAGUGUCGUAAUAUUUUGAGAUAAUUUCAGGAUAAAUGUUGCCGAACGUUUUAUUGAAUUCUACAAAUUUUUCUGAGUUGGCACUUUAUGUUCCAAAUUUCUGAUUAUAUAUUUUUUCAGGGGGGAUGAGAGCUUUUAUGUGUUCUCUUUGAACCCACAAUUUCCGGAACUUACAGUUUUAUGAUAAUCAAUAAAUGAAAGCGAUCGUUUCAAAAUAAUUUUGCUAC